GUGGGGGAUAUUGCACAAUGGAGGAAACUCUGAUGCAGCGACGCCGCGUGAGUGAAGAAGUAUUUCGGUAUGUAAAGCUCUAUCAGCAGGGAAGAUAAUGACAGUACCUGACUAAGAAGCCCCGGCUAACUACGUGCCAGCAGCCGCGGUAAUACGUAGGGGGCAAGCGUUAUCCGGAUGUACUGGGUGUAAAGGGAGCGUAGACGGAAUGGCAAGUCUGAAGUGAAAUCCUGCGGCUGAACUGCAGAAUUGCUUUGGAAACUGUCAAUCUGGAGUGUUGGAGAGGUAAGCGGAAUUCCUGGUGUAGCGGUGAAAUGCGUAGAUAUCAGGAAGAACACCGGAGGCGAAGGCGGCUUACGGGACAAUAACUGACGUUGAGGCUCGAAAGCGUGGGAAGCAAACAGGAUUAGAUACCCUAGUAGUCC
rnacentral:rRNA from 1 species